UUCUCUUCGGAAUUGCCUUAAAUAUUCUAGGUGCAAGAUUAGCAAUUUUCUACCCAUAAAUCCAUUUAUCAAUCUAGAACAAAGUGUGUGCCCAAUUCCCAACUUCCGAGAGCAGCACCACCGGGAAGAAAGCUCGUGCUUUUUGCCUGACACUUGGAUAGGUAAACUACACAAUGUCCAACUAAGCUCUUUGAGACCGGAGAUGCAAGUCUGUCCAUCUAGAGAGGUCUACAAACACUUCCUCAUGCAACGAAGCAGUGCCCUUUCGACUUCAUUUCACCAUAUAAGGUUAUGUUUGGAUACUCUUAUAUUUACUUCGAUACAUAUGGUUGGGGUGGAUUGAGGGCUCGUUCGUUUCACCGUUAAUACAUGUGGAUUGAAUGGUAUUGAGUCGGUUUAAAUACAUAGCAAGUUAAAAUACAUCUCAAUACAUUCUAAUCCACAUGAAUUAGAAUAACCGAAAUACAUUCUAAUCCACAUGGAAUUAGAAUAACCGAACAAGGCAUGAGAUAUAAAUCGGUUUAAUUUACAUCUUAAUCCCCCUCAACCCAUGAGUAUUGGGAUGAAUACCAAGCCCUAAAGAAAACUUAUUCUGAUUUUUAUCAAUAGUCUUGAUAGCCCAAGAGGGAAUAUUAAUAACUAUAGAAAGAUACAUAAGCAUCCCAUUAAGCACAUAAUGUUCUUGCACUCUCGUGAAUAUGAUUUCCAUCCGGAGAGUUGAUCUACAAUUCUAUCUACAAAAGGUUGUAACUGAACAGAACAGCCAAAGAGGGCAGCUAAGGCAGCCACAUAUUCGUCAGACAAGGGUUGAUGGAAAAGCUUAGCAUACUCUUCUUCUAAGGCAUGGCAACUGAUGCAUUCAUCAUCUUCAAUAACCCUCAGGGUCUUUUGGCUGCAGUUCGUUUUUGUUUCUUUUUCUAACUAUUUGUUGCUUGCAGCCACACCGAUCAUUCUAUCUAACGAAUGAUUUCACACACCAUACAGUCACGCCUAAAUGGCAGCAAGUGCAUAUAGUACGAAACUCUCAAACAAGACACAACAGAUACUAAAUCCAAAAGGCGACCAGCCAAGUGUCAAUUGUAUGCCUAUAACAAAUGAGGUCAGAUAUCAUCACUCUUCAUCUCAG
rnacentral:lncRNA from 1 species